GCCUUCGUGGUAUAGUGGUCAGCACGCUCGCCGCGUAAUCGAGAGGUCCUUGGUUCGAGUCCAAGUUAGGGCA
rnacentral:tRNA from 1 species